UGAACUGAAAUCCCAUGAGCUUUAAUAGGACUAUUCUCCAUCACAUAAUUGUGUUGUUAAAAGCCAGGAAUGACAUGCUAACUGUCCAUGCUAGAAGGCCUUCAUCUUGCAUUAUCCAGCAGAUUCAUCAAGACUCUCAAGAGGAUUUGAGCAGUGAACGAGGGCGUGCUUCAGUGGGUACAUGAUGUCAGACAGUGGGCUACUGAGGGAUUCUGUAGGUACCAGAUGUGAUGACCAACAUAACCUUCAGAAAUCAACUGAACAAAUGUUUCUAGCUUUUAUAAUCAGACUGGUAU